rnacentral:rRNA from 1 species
UACGUAGGGUGCAAGCGUUGUCCGGAAUUAUUGGGCGUAAAGAGCUCGUAGGCGGUCUGUCGCGUCGGCUUUGAAAACUCGGGGCUCAACUCCGAGCUUGCAGUCGAUACGGGCAGGCUAGAGUUCGGCAGGGGAGACUGGAAUUCCUGGUGUAGCGGUGAAAUGCGCAGAUAUCAGGAGGAACACCAAUGGCGAAGGCAGCUCGCGGGGACGGUACUGACACUGAGACGCGAAAGCGUGGGGAGCAAACAGG